rnacentral:lncRNA from 1 species
CAAAAAGAAAACCAGGAGACACCGACUUACAACAGACAAAAUUAAAAUUUAAGAAUUGGGCUACUUUCUCAAUCCAGUCCAAUUACAUUACACACAAAUAUGUAACCCAAUGCUUUUUUCUAUAAGCUAGCAAGCUGUUUGUAUUACACUUAUACCCAUGGACGACGUCAUUACUCAAUCGCAACCUGCAGGGGCAAAUCCGACUUUUCCUCCGGCCACGUCAUACACAACCUCCAACCUCUUCUGUUGAACAUUCCCAAUAAUCCCGACGUCACUAUCAUCCUUGUUUCCGGCAAACGCCAAGCAAACCUGCGAAGGACUUAUCUGAAACAAUAUCCCGGUCGCGUCCAAGUCCACCGUAAGUCCAUCCCCAAACACAAACGCUAUCUUCGGAUAUGACACCGUGUUCAAGCCGCUGAAAUCGUAACACGUGUCCAGCAACGAAUCGCCAUUAGUCAGCGUGUAGUUCUUCAUCGCCUCCCGAAACGCGCCCCGCAACACGGCGUAUGCCGUCGCCGGCAACCGCGUGAUCACCGUCCCUGAGUCGAUGAUCGUUCCAGAAGACGAAAAGACCGAGGGCGCAAUCGACAGCUGGCUCCCACCGACGUUGAUGCCGGCGAGGCCGAGGCCGUAAAGCGACGACGCGCUUUCGCUUUGGGAUGACGUGAUGAGCUUCGUGAACUUAACGCCGUUAGGAGAGCCUCCGUCACCAAAGGUGAGGUGACCGGUGGAGCUGGAAGUCGACGGGAGGCAGUAGGAGAAGAACCGGUUGUAUUUAU